UGGGGAAUUUUGGACAAUGGACGAAAGCCUGAUCCAGCAAUGCCGCGUGUGUGAAGAAGGCCUUCGGGUUGUAAAGCACUUUUGUCCGGAAAGAAAUCCUUGGCUCUAAUACAGUCGGGGGAUGACGGUACCGGAAGAAUAAGCACCGGCUAACUACGUGCCAGCAGCCGCGGUAAUACGUAGGGUGCAAGCGUUAAUCGGAAUUACUGGGCGUAAAGCGUGCGCAGGCGGUUUGCUAAGACCGAUGUGAAAUCCCGGGGCUCAACCUGGGAACUGCAUUGGUGACUGGCAGGCUAGAGUAUGGCAGAGGGGGGUAGAAUUCCACGUGUAGCAGUGAAAUGCGUAGAGAUGUGGAGGAAUACCGAUGGCGAAGGCAGCCCCCUGGGCCAAUACUGACGCUCAUGCACGAAAGCGUGGGGAGCAAACAGGAUUAGAUACCCUGGUAGUCCACGCCCUAAACGAUGUCAACUAGUUGUUGGGGAUUCAUUUCCUUAGUAACGUAGCUAACGCGUGAAGUUGACCGCCUGGGGAGUACGGUCGCAAGAUUAAAACUUAAAGGAAUUGACGGGGUCAUAGCUGUUUCCU
rnacentral:rRNA from 1 species